rnacentral:misc_RNA from 1 species
GCAAACUAAGACCUUUUUGCUUUUUACUUUUAAAUUCUCCAACUUCAAGUGUGUUACAAUAAGGCCUAAUACUUUUUUAUUUGAGAGUAUCAAGUACCAAUUAAAUAAGAACAACCAAAAAUAAAUAAAAUAAAAUGGUUAACUGAGCUUAAAAAUGCAUAAUUUAUCACAUUCAGAAAUUGAACAUAACAAAGCUUAAGAAGUCACUCAUACACAAUCUCCCCUUUCUUUGUUUCUCAAUUCACUCCUAUUCUUUUACUCUUUCAUCUUCUUCCAUUUGUCUCAUGAAUCACCACAAAAUCAAGACAAUCUCUUCCAAAAUUAUUUCCAUGAUAUGGUCCUACUCUAAAUCAUCCCCAACCAUCAAGUUCAAUGCCUCAAUCCCAAUUGUCCAUGCAAGACACCCAGUCUCCCCAUGAAAUCAUCUUCCACUCCUCUUCAAUCCCCUUACUCACCAAGUUGACCAUCCUUUGACAACAUGCUUGCUCCUCUAAUUCCCUCCUCUACACCUACACCACCACAUUUCACGGCUCCACUGCUUUUCUUCACUUUGAACAAUGAACAUGCAAACUCCCUUAAAAAGCUACAUGUGGUUUAUGGCGAUUACAAGCAAAUAGUGAGAGUAUGAUUUUCUAUAGUCAUAAUGGAUCAUAUACAUUUGGUUAUGCUAUGGCACUAGCCAUAGAUUUUUCAGCCAUUUCUGAAAUUGCUUUUAUAUUAACAAAUUAAAACUAUUUAAAUGUCAUUAAUUUACAAUUACUCUACACUGGUCAGACAAAAAAU